GACGAACCGUGCGAACGUUGUUCGGAAUCACUGGGCUUAAAGGGCGCGUAGGCGGGUUCGUAAGUCUGUGGUGAAAGCCCCCAGCUUAACUGGGGAAGUGCCAUGGAUACUGCGAAUCUUGAGGAGGGUAGGGGCAUCUGGAACACUGGGUGGAGCGGUGAAAUGCGUUGAUAUCCAGUGGAACUCCGGUGGCGAAGGCGAGGUGCUGGACCCUUCUGACGCUGAUGCGCGAAAGCCAGGG
rnacentral:rRNA from 1 species